rnacentral:lncRNA from 1 species
CUCUGAGCUGGGCUCUCCUGGUCAGAUUUCUGUCCCCAAGGCAGUAACCUUACCUCUGUUCCCUCAUUUUUUAGAAUCUGAAAGCAGGUGAACUUCCCCAACCUGGUUGUCUGGAUGACUGUAAUUUGGGAGACAUUUUCCUAGGAGUGGAGUAUAUCUUUCAGCAGUGCAAAGAAAACGAGGAUUACUACGACACGCUGACUGUCACAGCCACCCAUGGACUCUGUCACCUUCUAGGCUUCACACACAGCUCGGAGGAGGAGUGGCAGGAGAUGUACCGCCAGGAGGAGCAAGUGCUGGAGGAGUUGAGGCGUCGAACAGGAGCAAGGCUCCAGCCCCUGAGCAGGGGCCUCUUCUGAUGCAGUGGAGGCUCCAGGUUCCAGGACUUGUUGGAGGGGUGUACCUAGAACCAAGGAGCUCCAGACUGCCGCUGUACUGGUCGUGCUGUGCUGGGGGCCACAGAGGCGCCAGCCCAUGCUGAGGCUAAAUUCUAGGAGUGGAACUUGGUUUCUUGCACUACCAGAGAAGUAUCUGUCCCUUUGUUUAGGACACAGCAGAUUGUUUUCUUACUAAGCAGAAUAGUUGUAAGCCUUUACAGUGGAGGGAGGGAAUGGUAAACCCCAUAUGCUUCUUGAGGGUCUGCCAGUCUUCCACCCUGAAGAACUGAAGAGCUUUGGUGAAAAGCUUUGUCUACCCCUGCAGCCUGCCUGGGAGUGGACACCACCGCCCAGAGCACCCAUGCUUCCUCCUUCCUAGGGACAGCUCCUGCAGAUGCACAUGCUGGAGAGUGCUGGAGUCUCACCCUCAGGUUCUCUGUGCCUGAGCCUUGCUACCCCUGAGAAGAGUGACUAGGACAAGGGUGGCCUGCCAGCAAUAGGUGCACCAUACUUGACCUGAAUGGAUGCCACCGACACAGAGGCUCCUCCCUCUCAUCUCCCCCAAGA